CGUAAAUCAACAAAUAAUAAUUUGUUGUAUAUUUUCUUACUUAACUGUCAAAUGGCUGUAGCUUAUUUUAUGGGAACUUGAGCUAAAAUUCAAUAUGGCGUGUCUAAUUCUUUUGAUUAGUUGUUUAAUAGGGCUCACAACAGUUAUCGAUGCCAAGCCAUUGAAGCCAUGUGUUAGUCAACAUGGUACCUAUGAAAGUGGUGUUACGUUUACUACGUAUCGUUCAGGACCAUGUGUAAAAUACAUAUGCCAUGAUGGAAAGGUCGCUAGAAUAUCUGAAGGAUGUGAAGACCAUGAUGAUGUUUGUCAACCUCUGGGUUAUGAGUAUGAACAUAACUGUUCCUUAAAGAGAUGUGAAGUAAGAGGCGGUAGUGCAAGAUUUUAUGUCUUAAGGGCUAGGUGUAAGGAUUAUCAUGGACAGUGUCAUGGAUUGAAGGCCAUAUUUCCUCUGCGUAUGGAAGGCUAUAGAUACGAAGAGUGCUCUUGUGACUUUAUCGAACAUAAAUUUGUUUAUAUGUGUACCAUAUAAGUUUAAUCUAGAAAUAAAUAACACAUAUCAAGGAGUGUUCGAUAGUUUUUAUUUAACCCAUAUACCGGUUUCUUAUCAAAAUCCAGCAAUUAUCACUAAACUAAUCCUGUGUUAAAGGGCUGCUAGGGGUAAAACUCUUUGGUGUUUAUCUGCUUUUCAAAUAAUGGUGAGGGGGGGGGGGGGCGCUGUGACUCAGUGAGUAAGAUGCUGGCUCACAAACAAGGAAAUCCGGGUUCGAUCCCCGGGAGUUGGUCGAGGAAGUUGUGCAUGACGGGGUGCCUGGCAAGGACAGUUGAAAACCAAGGCCUCGUGUUUGCGUUGGAGUGCACGUAAAAGAACGCUUGGAAUAUAAGUGUAGGUCGUAACUCCGCUCUCCGGGCAAAAUCGUUCUCAUAGUCAUACAUUGUAUGGCGUAUGCCCAUCUUUGACCUAUCGGGAGCACUACUAAAGAGGGAACGUUGUAGGGUGAAUAGCUACUGUAUUUCUUUGUGACCUUUGGUAAUCGACUAGCAACAUACUUAAACGUAUAUAAAUACUAUAAAUCAAUCCUACUGUGCUGCACCGACAGAAGCAAUAACUGGUUUGUUAACGUAAUACAUUUCGACGGCGGUACUCUUUAAAAAAAACAAAACAGUGAUUGUUUCCCGUAUAAAUUGUGUUGUGUUUUUAAUGUUCUCAAUAAUUGUUAAAUGCCACUCAAAAAUUAGAUGGUACUCUUGUCUUACUAUUGCUUGAUAAAGAUUAGAGUACUAUUAUCGAAACUUUACAUGUUUAUAAACCAGUAAUUGUUAUUCCAUAUAUAACUUUUAGUAAGCUACUUUAGCCUGCUAUAGAUGGAUGUCAUGUUAUUAUUCCAGAUAGAAUAGGGACUUGGGAUUUUAGUCCCUAUUGAAUUGGACAGGUGAAGGGUUUUUGCGUAUUAUUUUUUCUUCCUUAAUGUUCAAAAUGCAACAAACAGCCAAUACAGAAGUAAAGUUGUGGAACAAUGCCAAUGAAGAGGAUAAUAGUGGUGAGUCUGGCUUGGUAGUGCCCCAAUAACACUUGGUGCUUCAAUGCCCCAAAUAUGCUAGUCCUUCAAUAAUCUUAUAACACCCAAUUUCUGAUCAACAAAGGUACAAAUUUGUACCUUCUGGUUCAACGGUUAUUUCUAAAGUACGGGAGUUAUCUCGCGCCCUUUUACACCCAUGCUGAUAUUUGGAACACACGGGUAGACUAUUUCUUUACCUUAUCAGAUAUAGCGAGAAUAAGAUCGGAGACAUGUAUACCUUUCACUAUAGAAGUUUUUCAGUUUACAUCAAUUAGACAUGGUUUACAAACUCAACUUGGUACUUUUCAUACUUUGUUUUCUAACUUUAACACAUUAAGAUAGAUAACAACAAGCUUUUCGGGUCAGAUUCUUCCAAAGAACCAGAAUAUUAAGUAACUUUGUGCUCUGUUUUAAUUUAGAAUUUUGGAUUCUCAUGCACAAAUAAAAUUUACCAAACAGUGGUUUAGUGCUUAAUCGUCAUAAAUUAUUUAUUUAUCAAUAUUAAUAUUGCAUAUUAGCUUCGAAUAUUGGCAUGUCUAUUAAAAUAUAACUGAUUAUUAUACGAAGUUAAUAAAACACUCCUAUAUCAAGCUGUUACGGCUUGGAUUUAAACAUCUGAAUAUAGCUAAACUAAGGAAUGCAAACAGCAGGUACUAUAUUUGAUUUCUUCUUUAUGAUAUAUAUCGACAAUCUGACUAAAUAUAUUUAAUAUUCUGUAUAUUGUUCAUUGAUCUGUAUAACACAAAAUAGAAAACAAAGUUUAGAGUCAUACAAAAUGGCGGUGUGGCCGUUGGUGGUAGCUUUGCUCUGUUGUAUUUCUGUGAUUGGAUCUAAACCUGUUGGAAAUGAUGUGUGUGUGGUUAAUGGAAAGGUUUAUCAUGAAGGUGCAACAUUCCCCGUACCUGAAAUGGGUGGAAAUUGUACACGAUACAAAUGUCAUAAAGGUGGUUAUAAGGAGUUUAAAGUAGAAUGUGAGGACAGGUUGGGAAUUUGCAAACCAUUAAAUGCCAAAGAAACAGUAAAUUGUGUGACGAAACAAUGUCUUACUGGCGAUUCUGGAACUAUUUUCUACAUACAAACUAAUAUUUCAGAAUGUAUGGAUGCUGAUGGUAAAUGCCAUAAGCCAGGAGAAAGAUUUCCUUAUGUCAUAGAUGAUGUUAGAAAACAGAACUGUACAUGUACCAUGCCCAUGGAUAAUCCAGAUGUAACUUACAGCUGUCAUUAGAAUCUGACAUUGUCAGCUUUGUUUGUUGGUACAAUAAAAUAAUUUUUGAAAGAGAAUUAAAACACAUCAGGAUAUGAUAUAUUGUAAUUCUAAAAUAAAACAGGUAUCCUGAUUAGAACCUUCCAAA